rnacentral:rRNA from 1 species
AAGGUAUUGAAAUAAGAUUUUAAUUGAAUGCUAAGAGAAUGGAAGUCCAGAAAAAAACUUUUUUUAAAUUAAAAAUUGAAGUUUUUUUAAUUUGUGCAGAAACAAUUAUUUAUAUUAAAGACAAGAAGACCCUAUGAAUUUAUUAAAUUUUUAUUUAAUAUGUAAUUACUAUUAGAAAAAUUUUGGCUGGGGCGGCUAGAAAAUAUUAUGAACUUUUUAAAAAUAAAAUGAUCCAUUAUUAAUGAUUUUAUGUUAAAUACUCUAGGGAUAACAGCGUUAUAUUUUUUGAUAGAUCAUAUUGACAAAAAAGUUUGCGACCUCGAUGUUGGAUUAGGAUACUUUUUUAAUGAA